rnacentral:rRNA from 1 species
UCGACCUGAGUUCAGGCAAGACCACCCGCUCAACUUAAGCAUAUCAGUCGGCGGAGAA